UUUCUUCCUAUUCUCUCUUCUGCUUUUUGUGGGUGUGUGUGGGUGUGUUCAUUUUUCUUGGACAGGUGCCUUAUUUUUCCGGCGAGGAUUUCUGGCAAGCUACAGUACUUCCGGCGACUCCCGCUCAGACUUUCGGCAGGAUGCAGCAGAAUUACACAUUCCGAUAAGCUUCAGGAAAACUUGCACUAGGUACUAGUUGCUGCAGCGAGGCCAGUUCGCGGCGUUUGGGAGUGAAGAGCUAAGCAACACCGGCCGUGACGUGCAAGAGUCGGUAGCAGUUGACCUUGGGCGCAUCAAAGCCUACAUUCAGGUUUUUCCACCAGGAGUUGGUACCUCCCGUUCUCUUGUUUACUUUGUACAUUUUUUUACGUAUUUUAGCUAGCAUUCCGUGUGAGGUUUACUCUGUUGCUUUCUAGUAAUUCCGUGUGAGGUUUACUCUGUUGCUAUCUCGUUUGCAUCUUUUUGCAUAUUCCGCUAUAGUGCGUGUGUGUCACUAUUCUCCAUAGUCGGUUGGAGGGAUAGUGGCCAUGGGGGGAUGAUAGUGUAAGGUCAUGUCCUCAGGGGGUGGGGGUGGCAGGGGUGAGUAGGGGGCAGGG
rnacentral:lncRNA from 1 species